CUCGUAGGCGGUUCGUCGCGUCCGGUGUGAAAGUCCAUCGCUUAACGGUGGAUCCGCGCCGGGUACGGGCGGGCUUGAGUGCGGUAGGGGAGACUGGAAUUCCCGGUGUAACGGUGGAAUGUGUAGAUAUCGGGAAGAACACCAAUGGCGAAGGCAGGUCUCUGGGCCGUCACUGACGCUGAGGAGCGAAAGCGUGGGGAGCGAACA
rnacentral:rRNA from 1 species